GACGAACGCUGGCGGCGUGCUUAACACAUGCAAGUCGAACGGAAAGGCCCUGCUUUUGUGGGGUGCUCGAGUGGCGAACGGGUGAGUAACACGUGAGUAACCUGCCCUUGACUUUGGGAUAACUUCAGGAAAAUGGGGCUAAUACCGGAUAGGAGCUCCUGCUGCAUGGUGGGGGUUGGAAAGUUUCGGCGGUUGGGGAUGGACUCGCGGCUUAUCAGCUUGUUGGUGGGGUAGUGGCUUACAAGGGCUUUGACGGGUAGCCGGCCUGAGAGGGUGACCGGCCACAAUGGGACUGAGAUACGGCCCAGACGCCUACGGGAGGCAGCAGUGGGGAAUAUUGCACAAUGGGCGGAAGCCUGAUGCAGCAACGCCGCGUGCGGGAUACCGUCCUUCGGGUUGUAAACCGCUUUCGCCUGUGACGAAGCGUGAGUGACGGUAAUGGGUAAAGAAGCACCGGCUAACUACGUG
rnacentral:rRNA from 1 species